GUGGGUGGGUGGGAGGGAGGGGUGCGCUGGUACGGCCCCGAGCGGCGUCGCCUGCGCAGCGGCGGCCGGCGCCGCGGCCGCGGCGCCGCCGAGAGGAGCGGCGACGGCUCCGCCCGCGGCGGCAGCGGCAGGGGGAGCAGGNNNNNNGCGCGCCAGCCGUUCGGCCGCGCCUUCAGCGAGCCCGUCCCGGUCGUGGGCCUCCGCUGCCUGCUCCGCCGCGACCUGUUGGGCCUAGACCCCGGGAAGGACGAGUUCGUCCGCGCCCUGCGGUACCACAGGCCGCUCCCGCCGCCGCGCCGCGCGCGCGAGCUCAAGCGGCUCGCGCGCCGGGCGCGCGAGCUCGCGGCGCCGCUCCCGCGGCUCGAGCUCGAGCGGUACUCGGAGGUGCAGCGGCGGCGCUAGGUGACGCCGGAGCCGGCCGUGCGGCUGCGGCAGGGGCACGAGCUCGCGCGGCAGCGGCAGCAGUGGGGCGGCCGGGGGCGCCGGCUCCCGCUCCUCCACGGCGUCGGCCUCCUCCUCGUCCACCACCUACUCGCGUUCCCCCUCCUCACCCGCGAGCGGCGGAAGAGGCCGACCUACGUCGAGCCGCUGUGGGUGCGGUACGAGCCGGCGUACCUGCUCAGGUAGCGGACGAUGCCGUUCCCGAAGCUCUAGGUCUACCGGCGCGAGCCGCUGGCGCUGGGGGCGCAGCGGCUCUGGACGUCCAUAGACCGCCUUCGCGUACACGUUCGAGACGUCAAGCUACUCCGUCUCUUCGACACGGCGUUUCGGGAACUCUAGGUGGCCCUCGUGUCGCGGGGGCGUAGGGAGCUCCUUCGGAGGCUAGCGGCAGACUACCGGGAAUAGGACCUACGGUUCCCACUGAUACUGCCGCGGGACCUCGUGGAACACGACCGGAGGUACUGGUACCAACGGUUACCUGCGCUACAGCUCCAACGGUGCUAGCUACAGCGCUAUCCGUUGUGGAUGGACCGGGAACGAGCAAAGCUGCUCAGACAGAAGAGGAUGGUCUUCCGGAACUGACAGGAGUUCAGACGGGCACCACUGCUGGUGGGAAGUCACCGUAGACAGAAGCAGGCGGAACGACUAGAGAUAGUGGCGUGUCCCUUCGAGGCACUCAGGUUUAGGAUGACGCUCUUACGAGAGGCACAGAUACGCUUCGGGCGCGGACCACGACGGGGACUGCUCCAACGACCUCCGGAUUACCUCUAACGACGGUAGAUACUCCGCGAACCUCUAGAACUACUCCGGAAUUUCGAAGAAGUCUCCCGUGACUUCAACGAACUCCUGAGUGGUCCCGUCACCUCGUGACAACGACCCUAGCUUCGUGUUUACCCACACAACAUGAUGUACUAUCCCUCCAUACGACUAAGUUCCUUGAGCAAGCUCUCGCGCCAAAGGUUUAACUCCCGGUCGCCCCUUUCCUUCAGUCGGAAAAAGCCACAAGACGACUUGGUCUACCCCGAUCGAACGCAUGUCGACAAGUUCUAACUACUCCGACGUGUCGACAAACUUCUUCGUGCCCGUCAAGAUCUCGUCCUCACACCACGGAGAGUAGGACUAUGAGAACCGCACAUGUCGUUGGAACGACGCUAGAUACUACGGUACCCUUCCCACCUUCUGCGCUAGCUCUAGGACCUCGUGCACGACUUCCACGCCCUCCUCUUCGACCCGUGCCGCUUGGGCCUGCACCUCCUGCUCUUCUUCGCCGACCGCCUCGACGACUUCCUCCGACCCGCCAGGGCCUUGGCCUUCGUCUUCAGCGAUCUCUUGGACAAACCCAGGCCACCACGACGCGCCCCGCGGUUCUUCCUGCCACGGCCCCCGUCCGCCACCUGGUUGAAGCCCAAGUCCUCGACUCGACUCGACUCUUCUUUAGUCACGACACCCGGAAACAUUGUAUUCUCCUCUCCCUUUCUCUCUUUUCCUUCCCUCCUCUCUCUUCGUACACAUUUCUUUCUUUUCCACAACGACCAUCUCAUCCUUCCUUCUACUCUACUAACACUAACGUCAAACAAAACUCAAAGAAGAUGUACAAGACGUACAUGAGAACUAACGACAACACAUGGGUGAACAAAUGGACUUCUUCACAAUACUACCCUUAAGAAAACAAAAUGUCAAUCAAUUGACCCGACAACAUAGACCUACUAAAUUCGUUAUAUAUAUGUGACAACCAACCAACACGAC
rnacentral:rRNA from 1 species